CCUACGGGAGGCAGCAGUGAGGAAUAUUGGUCAAUGGGCGGAAGCCUGAACCAGCCAUGCCGCGUGCAGGAAGACGGCUCAAUGUAUUGUAAACCGCUUUUGUCCAAGGGUAAACCUGAAUACGUGUAUUCAGCUGAAGGUACUUUACGAAUAAGCAUCGGCUAACUCCGUGCCAGCAGCCGCGGUAAUACGGAGGAUCCAAGCGUUAUCCGGAUUUAUUGGGUUUAAAGGGUGCGCAGGCGGAUUGAUAAGUUAGCGGUGAAAUGUCCGGGCUUAACUCGGGAAAUGCCUGUAAUACUGUUGAGCUAGAGAUUAGAUGCGGUAGGCGGAAUGUAUGGUGUAGCGGUGAAAUGCUUAGAGAUCAUACAGAACACCGAUUGCGAAGGCAGCUUACCAAUCUAUAUCUGACGUUGAGGCACGAAAGCGUGGGGAGCAAACAGGAUUAGAUACCCGAGUAGUC
rnacentral:rRNA from 1 species